rnacentral:rRNA from 1 species
CUACGGGCCGCUCCAGUCGGGAAUCUUUUACAAUGCACGAAAGUGUGAUAAAGCGAGCCAGAGUGUCUUUCUUAUUUGAAAGACUUUUGUCAGCUGCAAAAAGGCUGACGAAUAAGGACUGGGCAAGACCGGUGCCAGCCGCCGCGGUGAUACCGGCGGUCCAAGUUGCAGCCAUCAUUAUUGGGUCUAAAACAUCCGUAGCUUGUUUUGCAAGUCUCCUGUGAAAUCUUGUCUCUUAAGGGCAAGGCGUGCAGGAGAUACUGCAUUGCUAGAGACCGGAAGACGUAACGAGUACAGUUGAGGUAGUGGUAAAAUACGUUAAUCUUGACUGGACUAACAAUGGCGAAGGCACGUUACGAGGACGGUUCUGACAGUGAGGGAUGAAGGCCCGGGUCGCAAAACGGAUUAGAUACCCCCGUAGUC